rnacentral:tRNA from 1 species
GUGGGUAGAGCUCAGUGGUAGAGUGCAUGCUUAGCAUGCACAAGGUCCUGGGCUCAAUCCCCAGUACCUCCA